rfam:Pantoea ananatis LMG 20103, complete genome.
GUCGGUUUGAUUAACAGACACUAUCAAAGUAAGUAACCAAAGCAGUUCUCAUCUCUAAGCCUGUCGCGAGACAUUCCUUCUUUUUGAGUCUUCUCUUACGUUCUGAUUAAAAUCUGUUCUCAGGCCAUUACGCCGGAAGGCUCUAUUAUUAAGGAAUUAAACAUGUCUAACAAAAUCCGCGGUACCGUUAAAUGGUUCAACGCUGAGAAAGGCUUCGGUUUCAUCUCUCCUCAGGACGGCAGCAAAGAUGUAUUCGUACAUUUCUCUGCAAUUCAGGGCACAGAUUUCCGUUCAUUAGAUGAAGGUCAACAAGUUGAGUUUACAGUAGAAAAUGGUGCCAAAGGCCCAGCUGCUGCGAACGUUGUUGGUCUCUAAGGACUGAAAAUUACGCGUUUUAAAUGUCCUCACUGUAGUGGCUCG